rnacentral:rRNA from 1 species
AUUGAACGCUGGCGGCAGGCCUAACACAUGCAAGUCGAGCGGAUGAAGGGAGCUUGCUCCUGGAUUCAGCGGCGGACGGGUGAGUAAUGCCUAGGAAUCUGCCUGGUAGUGGGGGAUAACGUCCGGAAACGGGCGCUAAUACCGCAUACGUCCUGAGGGAGAAAGUGGGGGAUCUUCGGACCUCACGCUAUCAGAUGAGCCUAGGUCGGAUUAGCUAGUUGGUGGGGUAAAGGCCUACCAAGGCGACGAUCCGUAACUGGUCUGAGAGGAUGAUCAGUCACAUUGGAGGUUAGACGGGGACAGGGGGACUGCGGGAGGGAGCAGGGGGGGAUAGGGGACAAUGGGGGGAAGGGUGGUACAGCGGUGGGAGGGGUGUGAAGGGAGGGUUGGGAUGGUGAGGCAGUUUAGGGUGGGAGGAAGGGCAGUAAGCUGGGACGUUGCGUGGGUGACGUUACGGGCAGAAGAAGGACCGGCUAACUUCGUG